CUAUUCGAGGGACCACUGAAUCGCUUCCAUAUACGGCACCCGAGGGCCGGAGAUGUCAGCUUGUUUUAAAGUGCACCAUGCUACGUAGAUUUAGAUAACUGUUGAGAUAUAAUUACUCGCAGCAAUACAGAAGGGCACCUCAAAAGUGCUAAAAUCGGAAUAUCUCACACAGUCUUUGGAGACAAGCCUAUAGACGAACAUCUUCAUAGGUUUCAAUUUAUUUUACACUGGCAAGCUUGAUAAUCUAAAAAUUCUCAUUUUAUCACUGAAAAAUUGAACUGAUGCUUUGAAGAUCAUUUGCAUUGGUCUACUAAUGCAAAAGAUACCCAAGAGGCUCUCGACGCGAGAAAAGGUUAGUUGAGACAUGGUGAACUAAACUUCAUGUUCGGUCAAUUCAAAAAAUAUUUGUCGUACCGGUGGUUUGAAAUUAUGCCACGUGCCACGUGGCUGUUUUCUCCAAAAAUAUCACGCACUCCUAUCAAAACUGAUAGGAGCCACGGGGAGUGACGAAUCAAUGAAAACUUUUCAUCUUUAUCAGAUAGGAAGCAUACCUAGUGAUGAUUAUUAUCAUUUUACUCAAUUAAUUUUAAUCGGCUAAGUCUAUCAGUUAAUCAAAUCGGAGUUUUAUUCAUCAAGUCUAGACAGUUCAUGGACUGAAAAUGAAAUUCCUUUUUGGAAAAAAAAAAACCCAUGCGCAUAUUUUAUCAAUUACGACACGAGAUGAUUUUGUUGUUGAUGGGCAUAAUUGUUUAAAAAGAGCCAAUUGUUAACAUACACUGAUUGUCAGCCGUUGGAGUGAAUAUUUUGAAAGUUGGGUGCGAAAAGCUUUCAAUUGUGAAAUAAAUAAUUUGAUAUGGAUUUGAACUUACCAUUGUUUGUAAAAAUAAAAUGAAAAUCUGUUUACUUCCUCUUGAGGUGGCUUAGAAUAGUUCAUUAUUCAGUAAAAAUGCGUGUUUAUUCAUACGUGUAACACAAAACUAAUUAGAUAUGAAUCAGUUUUGUAAAUGAAGUUUCCUUACGUGAGUAUUAUAAAAUAAAUUAAAGGGAUAUUUUAGAAAUAUAUAUGCGUAAGAUUUCUACCGCUCAUAUGUUGCGAUAAAUCCACUCUGCAUGGUUAUACUGGUUCUUCUACUCCGAUUUAAAGAUAAAUGUUCUACGCAUGCACAAUGGAACUUCACUUGUAGACUCGGUCAACAAGAUUUGUGGUUUUCUUCUACAAGAUGAACUAGCCCGCCAUUACUCCUAUGAAGGUCAUAAAGGGAAGCGUGUCUUCAAAACUUAUGCAAUUUCUGACAUUAUCCUCGAUACUCUUCAUGCCUUCCACCCAGAUAAUGACAGGCCCGAGUGCCUGAAAAAAUGAAGUGGUGGCUAGGCCAUGCCUCAGAAAGAAUCAGAAUUAAAAACGAAAAGCGCGAGAACUUGGAAGCACUGAAUUAGAUUAAGUGAAUCAACUAUAGAAUUAGUUCAACUAAAUUAGCAAUUAGGUUGUUUCACGUAUAUUUAGAAAGGAAACCACUCUCUCUUUCUAUUGUGUUAUUCAUUCUUUUGAAAUUUUUUAUUCUGUUGUAUUUUUCUUUGGCGUGAUGUUUCUCUUACAUUACUGGACUUUACAGCAAAGUGAUUCUACUUGCCGUGCCAUACAUGUUUUGUACUUUUCAUACUUUAAAUUCCAUGCAAACAUUGUUCCUUUUAUAUUAUACAUGGAAAUCCAUGGAAUACCAAACUAUACUUUAGUUCCUUGACAUUAGUAUUAUUUUUAUCCUGUGAUUAUUAAUUAUUAGGAAGAAAAGAAAUUUUUCUCACGCUUCAUUAGAGUAGGUGAGUUAUCUUUGAAAAAGAAAAAAAACAUAUUUUAACAGGUGGCUGCAACAAAAUUGAGUCUUGGUAAACAUUAACGGCUAUGUAUUUUUGUGAGCUCCUAAGUUCCAAAACUUCUAAUAAAAAUCCGGAGAAGACUGUUUCCAAAUUUGAAAUUAAUUUUGAUUUUUCACGAAAAAGUGCCUAAUGACUCAAAAUUUCUGGAAGCUCUCAGUAAUUCUUUAACAUUCCCAAUUGUUGAAAAUGAAGUAUUCCACUUUUAUGACUUGUCAGAAAGAAAAUCAGGAAAGUCGGGGAAUUUGAACGAUGAAAUUCUGUAAGACACUCAGUAGUAUAUAAACGGGCACGCUGACGACUUUGCAACCUGGGGUCAACGACCGCUCCGGGCACUUUGCAACCUGACCCCAAAGCGCAACAGUAUGUUCACAACUUUAAGCGUAUCACUGUAGAAUCCCAUUCAUAGUAGUAUACAAAUGGGAACUCUGUUUUUUUUUCUUCCAAGAGUUUCGCCAUCGAUGAUUAUCACCUCCUUCUCUGGACAGUUUGUCCUUCUACCUCCCCAGGUAAGUACCCGUAGAAGUAUGAUUCAAUCGAACGGACCGAAAUUCGUAAGACCACCAAAAAUAGCCUACCUCAAUAAUAAAUCUUUUACAAUGACAUCAAACCGUCGCUAAUAUUGUUUAAUUAGUCUAGACAUUUACGUCAUGCAAGCCGGUCCUACCUCAACAUUUCAGAGAGCCUCCCAAGUUCAACGUCUCGCCACCUGCAACCAAGCGUGUGUUUUGCGCAAGCGUUCGCCGUCGAUGAACUUAGUCACCGCCUCCUUCUCUCGGCAGUAACCCCUCUACCAAUAACCUACCUCAAUAAUAAAUCUUUUACAAUAACAACAAAUCGUCGCUAAUAUCGUUUAAUUAGUCUAGACAUCUACGUCAUACAAGGCCAGCCUACCACAUUAGUUCAGAGGCCCUCCCAAGUUCAACGUCUCCCCAUGUGCAGCCAAUCAUGUGUUUUGCGAAAGCUAGUCAUCCUUUCCUUCACUCGACAGUACCCCCUCUACCGUACCAGGUAAUUACUCGUAUAUAUAAAAAAAAUUCUCACCAUACAUCUAACUUAUCAUGUCUACGGGGAGUUGCAAAUUCUGCCACAAGCAAGCCACAACUAAUACUAGGGUGACGUUGUGUAUAAAGCACGUACGCGAGUACGCAAGUUCGUGUAAAGCCUACCAUUUAACCCGAAAGGAUUCCCGAGGGAAUAGUUUAUACAAUAAAGAACUUUUAGAUCACGCUAAAGCCAUUUGUUUUCCAUUGGACGAGAUCAUCAUUCGCGUAGCUCUAAAGAAUCAUUCCUACAAGUAUCUUGGCGGUGAGGAAACUCGAAUGCGCAUUGACCACUGCAUCAAGUAUUUCGACGGCAACCUUGACGACGGACACUUACAAUUCUGUCAGAACCUCACUUAUAAACUACCUACUAAAAUAACAACUGACGACAAGCUCAACGUGAUAAUUGCUUGUGUGUGCGACCAAUUAAAAUCAUUUUGUUAAAAGUAAGUCAACAAAGUAUCCUCUUACAAUCUAGAAUAUAAAUACCACUCGACAUUCUAAAAAUGAUAGGAAACAUGACACCCGAAAAAACCGCUUUUGAAGGUCAUUUUUCAGUUUAUUCAAUCAGUAACCCUACACCCUCAGAUGAUAUCGAAGUGUUUCUCGAAGGGAAUAUCCCAGGAAUUAAAAACAUAUUUGAGAAAGAAAAAAUUCCACCCGUAAAAGUCAAUUUUGAUGUCACAGCCACCUUUUACCACGAUAAAUUACAGGAGACUCACAUACAUACGUUGGAAGGUCUCGCUACCACUAUAAUCAACAGCAUGGAUGUAAGCAACGCUAUUCGAAGAUUGAGGAAAGAUACAAAGAGUCAUAUAUCCGAACUUACAUUUAGGAAUUCUCAAUGGUGUCUAUUACAUUACGACUCCAUACAAGUGCGAGUUUACACUUAUAAGCCACUUCGGGGAGGAUGUUCGACUGAUCUACCCCAAUGGGUAAAAGAAAAACACGCAGUAGUCAACGUCAACUUUCCAAAUUAUCCAUAUCAAUGCUUUAAAUGGGCAAUGUUAGUAAAAUUUCUGAAAGAAAAAAGAAUAAAAUAUUCUCUAUCGCGAUUUGAAGCCUAUGCGAAAAAAUACAAUUGGCCUCAUUUUCCGAUGACCAUCGAGGGGAUGGAUGAAUUUGAGGAGCAGAAUCCUGGGACCGCCGUGAACGUUUACGGAAUAGAAGAAGAAUUUUCAGAGAUAUAUCCGAUUAGAACUAGUGAAGUCAGCGAUGAACUCGACGUUAAUAAUUUACUUUAUUAUAAUGAACAUUAUUCAUAUAUACGAAAUAUAGCUAAGUUAUUACCCAAAAACAAUAGGAAUAAAAAAUAUAUUUGCUAUCGAUGUUUAACUUACUACAAUAGGAAGCAAGAUUUAGAGACUCAUAGAUUUAUGUGCAUAAAUAACGGCGGAAAUAUUGAAAAAAAGAGAGCCUCAGUCCCACUCCCCGAUGCAAUUAAAAAAAAGAACUGUCUCGUCAUACCGACGAAUUUUGCAGAAAAUUCAUUGGAACAAUGUAUUUUAUUCGGAUUAAGAGGAAAGAAGGUCGAAUGGCCAAGUUUUGAAACGGAAUUUCCCUUGGAGGGGGUGAGGAAAUUUAACUCGAUGAAUCCCGGAGUUCUAGUAAACGUUUAUACUUACAAUAAGAAAGGAACAAUUUUUCCGUUGGAAAUAGCCAAAAAUGUGAACGUAAAAAGUAAUAAAUUAGUAAUAAAUCUUCUUAGAGGGAACGAAGAUUACUAUUAUAUCAAAGAACUGUCAAGAUUAGUACGUAAGCAAGUGACGCGGCAUCACGGGCGAAUCUUUGUAUGUCCCCGCUGCCUGUCACAUCGUUAUUCUCAAGUAGACAUCCAAACCCACGCGCAGUACUGCAAACCAAAUCCCUUAGCCAGAGUGAUAAUGCCAAGUCAGUACUUUGGCACCGACGUUUUAGGAUUUACAAAUCAUAGUUUUAAAUUGAGAGUUCCAGUAGUAAUUUAUGCGGAUUUCGAAUCGAUAUUACGACCUAUCGAUAUUAAUAUUUCACCAAAUACUACAUUUUAUCAAUAUCACGAGCCUUCGAGUUUUUGCCUUCUCGCUGUAAAUGUAUACGAUUCAAAUACGUCACCAAAACUAUAUCGAGGGCCCAACGCAGUAACUAAGUUUUUCGAAUAUUUACAAGAAACGUUAGAAGAAUCUAUAGAAUUGCUGGAAACAUACCAACCUUACGACCCGACGGAAGCGGAAAAUUUCGAUCCAACAACAUGUCACGUUUGCGAAAAAAGAAUCGCAGAUCCAAAAGAUCGCGUAGUAGAUCAUGAUCACGUGACAGGAAAAAUUCGAGGUAUCGCACAUUCAAUAUGUAAUCUACACUUUCAAAGAGUAAAGUAUAUACCGAUAUUUUUUCACGGAUGCAGUAAUUACGACUCGCAUCAUCUCAUUCUACACCUCAAUACUUUCCCCGGAGCGACAACUAUAAUCCCGCAAACCACCGAGAAGUACAUAGCGUUUACAAAAAAAUUUCAUCAUUUGAACACGAGCUACCAACUACGUUUCAUCGAUACAUGGCGAUAUAUGGCGAGCCCCCUCGAGAAAUUAGUUAAAAACCUACCCGUUUUAGCCUUAAAGCAGACCAGGAAAGUAAUUCCGAAGGAAUUGAUGCAUCUAGCUACCCGGAAGGGCGUUUUUCCGUACGAUUACGUUAAGGACUUUAACGACUACGAAACCGACAAACUUCCGCCGAUCGAAGAAUUUUACAAUAAACUGAAAAGGCAACCCUGUAAACCUGAAGAUUACAAGCAUGCGCAAGAGGUAUGGCAAAAGUUCAAAAUUAAAUCACUCGGUCAAUAUUCCGAUACCUAUCUAACUUUGGACGUGACUUUAUUGGCGGAUGUAGCUGAAGCAUUCCGAGAUACAAACAUGAAAAAUUACGGGCUGGAUAAUGCGCACAAUUACACGAGUCCUAGCUUUUCAUGGCAAAGUAUGCUGAAAUUUACCGGCGUACAAGUAGAACUUUUGACUGACCCUACGAUGUAUUAUCUAUUCAAGAAUAAUAUUCGAGGGGGAGUGAGUGUGUGCAAUUUACGUUACAUAAAAGCCGAUAAUGAGUAUGUAAAUCCUACAUUCGAUAGAAAAAACAUUCCCACGUUCAUUACCAUGUACGAUAUGAACAAUAUGUACGGACUAGCUUUAUCCCAAUACUUACCACUGAGCGAUUUUGCAUGGAUGUCACCGAGUGAACUACUGUUUGUACAGGAGAAUUUAAUGACUAUUCCAGACGAAGCACCCACCGGUUUUUUCCUCGUAUGCGAUAUACAAUAUCCACCAGAAAUUCACGAAAAGCACAGUAGACUCUUACCCCUCCUUCCGGAAAAUAUAAAAUCUCCAAGGGGGAAAACUGUAAAGCUUUGUAAUUUUUUGUCCGAUAAAAAAGAGUAUGGCCUUCACUACAGAGCUCUGAAGCAAGCCGUACGUUUGGGAUUGAAACUUGAGAAGAUACAUAGAGGCGUUCGAUUCCGACAGGAGCCAUGGUUGAAGCCCUUUAUCGACAACAAUACAGAGCUACGCAAAUCGGCCACUAAUGCAUUUGAUCAAGAGUUAUUCAAAUUAUACAAUAACGUAAUUUAUGGAAAGUGCAUCGAGGACGUUUCUAAGAGGAAAAACAUGUCACUGACUGCAAACCUUCAAACAUAUUUGAAAGCUGUAGCAGACCCAUACUUUGAGCGAGCCUCCUACUUCGAUUCCGAUUUGGUGGGAGUCCACAGACGAGCCAAAGUAAUAAAAUACGACAAACCAAUUUUCAUCGGCACCGUUGUCUUGGAUUUAGCGAAAGUUUUCCUGAACGAGUUUUUGUAUGAUCAUAUAGAUAUUAAGUACGGAAAUUGUGCAACGCUGGGAUAUACGGAUACUGACUGUGCUCUACUCAAAAUAGAGGGAAAAAAUCCUUUUGAAAUUAUAAAAGAAGAGAAUCGAUUAGGAGAGGAGUCUUGGUACGAUUGUUCCUGUUACGAUGCGAGUCAUCCAUGUUACAGCGAUGUUAAUAAGAGGAGGCCCGGGAAAAUGAAAGAUGAAUUUCCCGGGGAUUUUAUUUUAGAAGUAGUCGCAAUCGGAUCUAAAAGUUAUUCCAUUCGAUCUCUCAAUCAGGAGAAGAGAAAAUUGAAAGGUAUACGUAAGUACAUUGUUCAAGACGAGAUCAGUCAUCACGAUUAUAUGAAUUGCCUCUUUUCGAACGAGGAUUAUUAUCAUACGCAAAGCUCAAUAGUUUCCAGGAAGCACCGACUCUACAAGGCUCUAAUGAAAAAGUCCUCUUUAAAUUCGUUCGAUGAUAAAAGAUACAUCCUUCAGGACAAUGUGCAUACUAUCGCCUUUUAUCAUGAAAAACUGGUGAAGCAUCAAAAAUUGAUGAGAGAAGUAAUGGAAGAACUUUUACGCCGUGAUAGUCAAAUUUAAGCAAAAUGAAUACUUUGUUCAUUCUAUCUUCGGAAAACCUAACUUUAGAAAAUUGUAAUUACGCUAUACGUCUGAAUCUGCCCACACAGCAUUUGGAAACUUUAACUUAUCGAAUAUCUCGAAUAAUUAUCUCGGAUCAUGUGGAUGAUGAGGAUCAUGUAUGUACUAAUUUAUGUUUUAUACGUGUGAGAGACGCACUAAACUCAAUUUGGCAUCAUAGUACUUACGGGAUGAGGGACUGGCUUAGGUGCUCCUUCCUCAACUUUGUUAGAUCCCAAUUGGGAGAAAGGAACUUAUUAACAAUUUUCAUACAAUAUUUUUUAUGGUUUAAGAGAAACGGCCAGCAAGUUACUAUACCGUUUCGAGUUCUCUACGAAUGUAAAGUAUGGUAUCCAUCAUACGAUUGGUCUAGGUUAGAAUAUAAUUUUAGAAGAAUAAUGGAAUCAUAAAGCGACGAUUCGUGUGGAGUAAUGAAUUCUUUGCUUGAAAAUUCUUUACAGAAUCUCGAUCUCAACGCCUGCGUUUACGCUACAUCGUAUCUUCCCUGGCAAACUUGGCUGAGGAGGAAAAUACUCAGACGUGCAGGUGUGGCGAUUUAUCGAGAAAUUUCACACAGUUGGGCGCCGACGGAGAUUCACUACACUCCCCACAGUCAUUUUCAACAUAUAGAAAGGAAAUAUGGCGCUCAGCAGCAACGCAGAAAAGGCAAGGUUCGUGUUGGAGGAGAUGAUAAAAUUAAAGCAAGAACGUCCCAUCGUCUGGAAACUGAACAUCGAUCAGCUUCGGGAUUGGAAGACGGAGCUUGAGCUUUACGAGAUGACCGGAGACGAAAACGGUCAUUUUGUAUCGUGCCCAUGGAGUAGCGGAAGAGAAAGUUCGGAGCCUUGCCUUUGCUGGAGAGUGCUGAGGAUAAAAUUAUAUAUGCGUCCUGUAAUAAAAUGAAAGAGGAGUCAUACCCGA